GCUCAUUUUUGCAAGCUGUAGAAGCCGCAGCCCAAGUUGUGGAAUCUGUUUCUCAAAAAUUGAGGAAGUCGUCACUGGCUUUUCUUCCCACUUGCCUUACGCGUUAAAGCAAUCAACAACUCUUCGCAAACUUUUAAGAAAUGCAUACACCCAUUGACUUCGGCUAAACAAAGAUAAGUUGGGGAGGACGAGAAAAACGUAGCCACAUGAGUGGGCUGAGAGAUAAGAAAAGCAAACUGCAGAAAAAAAGCGAGCUAAGUAAGCAGGGCAGAAACCGGGGAGGCGGGAGGGGGCGGGGUGACUUAGCCUGUAAACGGUAUUUUGCAAAAAGCCUGAAAGCCAGAACCUCCCUCCCAGCCCUACCUUCCCGUCGCCCAUCACGCACGGCUCGAGUUCCCUUGCCAGCAAGCCGAGACCGUAAAAGCGUGAAGCCAGCCGCGCACCAAACUUGCGGGAAAUUCGUGGCAACAGCCAUCUUUCUCCACCCCGAACAAAACGUGGUGUGCAGCCGAGUGAACUUUGCAUCUUGGAACUGCCCUCAGCUUUGCCUGCCCAGGAGAAAGUUGUUUCUAGCAUCAAGUUAAAUAUUAUUUUGCCAUACUUGCUUUGGCCAACAAUGUACAAAUGAUGCUGCCUGAACUGUGAAAUGGAGCCUCUAGAGGAUUUGUGCAAAAUAAUACCAAAUGAAAAAUGACAGAAAAAUUAUGCUUUGGUAGAAAAAUUUGGGGAUACAAUAAAACUGCUUCUGCAACAUUCCUUGAAUUAUCAUAUAAAUAUUCCAAAUUAUUUUAUUGCCAUUCGUAUUGUGUUUUUAUCUAAAA